GGGCCGGGCUCGGCCCGGAAGCAGCGGCGGCGCGCCCGCCUCGCAAGGCCGCUCGGGCCCAUCCCGCACUGAGCUCCAGGCCCAUGGGCGAGCCAGCUGCGGCGGCUAUAAUUAGAGGGGAGCCGCGGCCCUGCCGAGCCUGAUACCUCGCGCCCCCCGCCGGCGUUCCUGGGAGGAAUGUGCGGGCGCGAGGCCGUGCGUCGCCGCCAGCGCGCUCCCUGGACGGUCACCGCGUGGUGGACCAAAUAAAGUAAAAGAUAACAGGCACGAAAACCAGUUUAGAAGCUUGAGAUGGAAAUCAUACAAAACAGUCCACUCCUUAUAUAUUUUAUCGAGGAACCUGGAAGCCUUUUCGGUGGAAAUUCGAUUCCUAGGAAGUUAUUCUGACUGGAGCCUGUUUGUCUUGACACAGCAGCCCUGUAGUCAUAGCCUGCUCUGCUCCUUCACAAAGCUCUUUGAGGGGAAACUAUGUUGAGAGAUACAAAUUCAAGUUUUUGUGAAAACACACCUCAGAAUUGUCUAGUUUUAUUCCAGAUACACAAAAACAGUGAAUAAAGGUC